CGAAAAGCGUUGACAGGAAGCAGUAGGGAGCCCCUCUUUCCAAGAGAGCCGGUGGGUGGUGCGAAUCGGUGAAAGAUGCUGUCCGAAUCCGUCCUUGAGCGAAAUGCUGAAAACAAGUAGGCAUUUACGGGAAAACCGUUAUGUGUUAAAGCGGGAAACAGGUGUGUGCUUGUUUUCAAUCAGGGUGGCAACGCGAGAGCUCUCGUCCCUUUU
rfam:Bacillus sp. NRRL B-41092 Bacillus-sp-B-41092_contig_29, whole genome shotgun sequence.